CCUACGGGAGGCAGCAGUGGGGAAUAUUGCGCAAUGGGCGAAAGCCUGACGCAGCGACGCCGCGUGUGGGAUGAAGGUCUUCGGAUUGUAAACCACUGUCGGGAGGGACGAAUGCGCCGCAAGGCGAGUGACGGUACCUCCAAAGGAAGCACCGGCUAACUCUGUGCCAGCAGAAGCGGUAAUACAGAGGGUGCGAGCGUUGUCCGGAAUCACUGGGCGUAAAGGGCGCGUAGGCGGCUGGAUAAGUAGGGGGUGAUAUCUUGCGGCUCAACUGCAAGGCUGCCUCCUAAACUGUCCGGCUUGAGCACAGUAGAGGCAGGUGGAAUUCCCGGUGUAGCGGUGGAAUGCGUAGAGAUCGGGAAGAACAUCGGUGGCGAAGGCGGCCUGCUGGGCUGUUGCUGACGCUGAGGCGCGACAGCGUGGGGAGCAAACAGGAUUAGAUACCCUGGUAGUCCACGCCGUAAACGAUGGGUACUAGGCGUCGCCGGGAGCGACCCCUUCGGUGCCGUCGCUAACGCAGUAAGUACCCCGCCUGGGGAGUACGGCCGCAAGGCUGAAACUCAAAGGA
rnacentral:rRNA from 1 species